GAGGAGGCAGUCAAAAGGAAAAACACAAAUAUCUCCAAGAUGGCACUUACAAAAAGCAACAACAAUGACAAAGUAUAAAUACAAACACACACCUUGAAGUUUAUGUUCUUACUCAAAUGCAAGCAUCAACAAUGGCCUACUGUCAGCAAGUUAAAUGGCUGGGGCUGUUUCAGUCUCCCAUUACAUGAAGAAUCUUCUGGAGAGGAAAGAAGAAACCAUGUCUAGACAAGGUGCUGGAAAGACCCAGGGAAGACACAGAUUUGUUCCUUUCUCCACCAUGCCUCACUAUGUGUCACCAAACUUAAUUCAGCAUCAGUGCUCCAAAUACUCCAUCCUACAAUUAGAGAAACCACUGAAUUCCGAUAUCCUCCACCCAAAUGGUAAUGAAGAUUGGAGAAAGUGACGCCCAUGCAUAGCGGAGAAGUGGAUUGCAGAUAUAACAAGGAGCACAGUAAACUGAGAUGUAAAACACCUUAUUCAACAACGAGGAUGCUGACUCAAAAGCAAAAGUUGAAGCACAUUAUGAAUGAAUGUCAAAAGGGAAAAAUCUAAAGCUAACAUAAAAGAGUGCAACUACAUCAA
rnacentral:lncRNA from 1 species